ACGCUCGACACCUACGGGAGGCAGCAGUGGGGAAUAUUGCACAAUGGGGGAAACCCUGAUGCAGCGACGCCGCGUGAGUGAAGAAGGUUUUCGGAUCGUAAAGCUCUGUUGUUGGUGAAGAAGGAUAGAGGUAGUAACUGGCCUUUAUUGACGGUAAUCAACCAGAAAGUCACGGCUAACUACGUGCCACAGCCGCGGUAAUCUGAGCGGGCUGGCAAGGC
rnacentral:rRNA from 1 species